AUAACUGUUGGAAACGAUAGCUAAGACCGCAUAGGUGUGAUAACCGCAUGGAGAUGACAUGAAAUAUGCUACGGCAUAGGUAGAGGAUGGACUUAUGGCGCAUUAGCUAGUUGGAGGGGUAACGGCCCACCAAGGCGACGAUGCGUAGCCGACCUGAGAGGGUGACCGGCCACACUGGGACUGAGACACGGCCCAGACUCCUACGGGAGGCAGCAGUAGGGAAUUUUCGGCAAUGGGGGAAACCCUGACCGAGCAACGCCGCGUGAAGGAAGAAGUAAUUCGUUAUGUAAACUUCUGUCAUAGAGGAAGAACGGUGCGUGUAGGGAAUGACAUGCAAGUGACGGUACUCUAUAAGAAAGCCACGGCUAACUACGUGCCAGCAGCCGCGGUAAUACGUAGGUGGCGAGCGUUAUCCGGAAUUAUUGGGCGUAAAGAGGGAGCAGGCGGCACUAAGGGUCUGUGGUGAAAGAUCGAAGCUUAACUUCGGUAAGCCAUGGAAACCGUAGAGCUAGAGUGUGUGAGAGGAUCGUGGAAUUCCAUGUGUAGCGGUGAAAUGCGUAGAUAUAUGGAGGAACACCAGUGGCGAAGGCGACGAUCUGGCGCAUAACUGACGCUCAGUCCCGAAAGCGUGGGGAGCAAAUAGGAUUAGAUACCCUAGUAGUCCACGCCGUAAACGAUGAGUACUAAGUGUUGGGAGUCAAAUCUCAGUGCUG
rnacentral:rRNA from 1 species